rnacentral:tRNA from 1 species
GGGGAUUUAGCUCAGUGGUAGAGCGCUUGCCUAGGAAGCGCAAGGCCCUGGGUUCAAUCCCUA